CUUGCGACAAUGGGCGAAAGCCUGACGCAGCAACGCCGCGUGCGGGAUGACGGCCUUCGGGUUGUAAACCGCUUUUCGAGGGGAAGAGGAAGGACGGUACCCUCGGAAGAAGUCUCGGCUAACUACGUGCCAGCAGCCGCGGUAAAACGUAGGAGGCGAGCGUUAUCCGGAUUUACUGGGUGUAAAGCGCGUGUAGGCGGUCGUGCAAGUGGAGCGUGAAAGCGCCCGGCUCAACCGGGCGAGGACGUUUUCGAACUGCGCGACUAGAGGCAGGUAGAGGCGUGUGGAAUUCCGGGUGUAGUGGUGAAAUGCGUAGAGAUCCGGAGGAACACCAGUGGCGAAGGCGACACGUUGGGCCUGGCCUGACGCUGAGAGGCGAAAGCAUGGGGAGCGAACGGG
rnacentral:rRNA from 1 species